AAGGUGGGAUAGUCGUACAAGGNAGGUGUGUCGGAAGGUGUACCUAGGAUUAACA
rnacentral:rRNA from 1 species